CCUUACAGGACAUCACCGUGAGCUCCCACUGUAGCUGGCACAGCCCUGAGCAGGGACCUAGACUAGACUCUCUCCAAGGGUGCCUGCCAGCCUCUGCCAUUCUGUGGAACUUCGUCCUCCAAGGCCGGACGUGGGCAGUCCUCUCAUGACACUCAUCCUCCCCAUAGGGCAAUAUCCAAGUGCCAAAGACCACACCACACCAUGUAUUUUGAAGAAGUCCAUGCUGAAAUCACUUGCUUUCAAAGUGAUUGCAGUUUCCAUUGCAUAUGCCUGGGUUGCAACAUUCACUGAUGACUCUUAGACCCAUUGUUUUGUGAUUUAACUUCACUCAACUGUUUUGAAACACAUACAGCUCAUUGCACAAAGAGAGAAGGAAGACAGCUAGUUCAAAAGGACAGUAACAGAACUUGAAAUAAGUCAGUUUGAAUAAAAUAAGAAACAGGCUGAGCCUGUGUC